AGGAUGAACGCUGGCGGCGUGCCUAACACCAUGCAAGUCGAACGAAGCACUGCGGAUGGAGAUUACGUCAAAAUCUGCUUUGACUAGUGGCGGACGGGUGAGUAAUGUGUGAGCAACCUGCCUUUCAGAGGGGGACAACAGUUGGAAACGACUGCUAAUACCGCAUAAUGUAUUGGAAGGGCAUCCUUUUUGAUACCAAAGGAGCAAUCCGCUGAAAGAUGGGCUCACAUCUGAUUAGCUAGUUGGUGGGGUAACGGCCUACCAAGGCUGCGAUCAGUAGCCGGACUGAGAGGUUGAACGGCCACAUUGGGACUGAGAUACGGCCCAGACUCCUACGGGAGGCAGCAGUGGGGAAUAUUGGGCAAUGGGCGAAAGCCCUGACCCAGCAACGCCGCGUGAAGGAAGAAGGUCUUCGGAUUGUAAACUUCUUUUAUGAGGGACGAAGGACGUGACGGUACCUCAUGAAUAAGCCACGGCUAACUACGUGCCAGCAGCCGC
rnacentral:rRNA from 1 species